rnacentral:rRNA from 1 species
UUAAGGGUCCUGAAGGAACGUUGAAGACGACGACGUUGAUAGGCCGGGUGUGUAAGCGCAGCGAUGCGUUGAGCUAACCGGUACUAAUGAACCGUGAGGCUUAACCUUACAACGCCGAAGGUGUUU